rnacentral:piRNA from 1 species
UAUUUGUGGGGUGCUCUAGUACAGAUGA